GGAUAUAGCUCCAUUGGUAGAGUGCUUGCCUUGCAUGCACAAGGCCCUGGGUUCAAUCCCCAGCACCA
rnacentral:tRNA from 1 species